AGUAAUAUAUCGGAACGUGCCCAGUAGUGGGGGAGUAACUGCUCGAAAGAGCAGCUAAUACCGCAUACAACCUGAGGGUGAAAGGGGGGGAGUCGCAAGACCUCUCGCUAUUGGAGCGGCCGAUAUCAGAUUAGCUAGUUGGUGGGGUAAAGGCCUACCAAGGCAACGAUCUGUAGUUGGUCUGAGAGGACGACCAGCCACACUGGGACUGAGACACGGCCCAGACUCCUACGGGAGGCAGCAGUGGGGAAUUUUGGACAAUGGGCGCAAGCCUGAUCCAGCAAUGCCGCGUGCAGGAAGAAGGCCUUCGGGUUGUAAACUGCUUUUGUCAGGGAAGAAAUCCUCUAGGUUAAUACCCUUGGGGGGAUGACGGUACCUGAAGAAUAAGCACCGGCUAACUACGUG
rnacentral:rRNA from 1 species